AUUGAACGCUGGCGGCAGGCCUAACACAUGCAAGUCGAGCGGCAGCGGAAAGUAGCUUGCUACUUUGCCGGCGAGCGGCGGACGGGUGAGUAAUGUCUGGGAAACUGCCUGAUGGAGGGGGAUAACUACUGGAAACGGUAGCUAAUACCGCAUAAUGUCGCAAGACCAAAGAGGGGGACCUUCGGGCCUCUUGCCAUCAGAUGUGCCCAGAUGGGAUUAGCUAGUAGGUGGGGUAACGGCUCACCUAGGCGACGAUCCCUAGCUGGUCUGAGAGGAUGACCAGCCACACUGGAACUGAGACACGGUCCAGACUCCUACGGGAGGCAGCAGUGGGGAAUAUUGCACAAUGGGCGCAAGCCUGAUGCAGCCAUGCCGCGUGUAUGAAGAAGGCCUUCGGGUUGUAAAGUACUUUCAGCGGGGGGGAAGGUGCUGAGGUUAAUAACCUCAGCAAUUGACGUUACCCGCAGAAGAAGCACCGGCUAACUCCGUGCCAGCCGCCGCCGUAA
rnacentral:rRNA from 1 species